GACAGAGGGUGCAAACGUUGUUCGGAAUUACUGGGCGUAAAGCGCGUGUAGGCGGCCCUGCAAGUCGGGUGUGAAAUCCCACGGCUCAACCGUGGAAGUGCAUUCGAAACUGCAGGGCUAGAGUCCUGGAGAGGAAGGUGGAAUGCUUGGUGUAGAGGUGAAAUUCGUAGAUAUCAAGCGGAACACCGGUGGCGAAGGCGGCCUUCUGGACAGUGACUGACGCUGAGACGCGAAAGCGUGGGGAGCAAACAGGG
rnacentral:rRNA from 1 species